GCUACAACAACAUUGUGACAUGUCUGGGGGUCCCAGAGGAGAAGUUUGAGAACGGCUCUCCUAAAUACUCUUCAUAGGAAUCAGUUAGUAUGUGCAGUACUGAGAAGUGAUCUAGACUCAUAUCAGUGAAUAGGAGUGGAUCCUGUUUGGUACAUUAGGGUAAGAAAGGCAAAGUCUCUACUAAAGGUUUUACUCCUAAAUAUCCACGUCAACAUUUUCUCUUGACCCUCUCUUUGCAGAACACUGCGCCAUACUCACCUUUUUAGCUCUGGAAGCAAAAUGCAGAGGAUGCUUCAACAGAAACUGAGCUGCAUUCUUGCUUCUGUAAAGAUUCAUCCUAGGACCUAACAAAGAGUUCCCUCGCAGGCUCCCAGCCAGGAUCCCCUCCCUCCAAAUGGACUAAAACCAUUACAUCAACGACGACUGACUGGAUUACCUGUGACCACAAAAAGGAUAUCCUCUGAAAUAAAACAGCUUUUCUAGCGUGGUGCCAAGGGUUUUAGACCAGACUAAUCCCCUUUUUGAUCAAUGAGCCUCACGUCGGU
rnacentral:lncRNA from 1 species